UUGUUUCCAAAUGUACCUAUGGCCUAACCAAGCUCAAAUGGAGGCAUAUGCCCACCGGGGGACCCCCGAUGGGAUGCAGUCAAAGGGGUAGACCGCGCGGUCAACAGAACUAGGGUUUCAUCGGAAAUCGAGCAUCGGAUCUAGGGAAUGGCCCCAAAACUUGUGUGUGUCCACAUGGAAUGCACAAAAGUGAUUUGAGAUGGUUUUAUAUCCAAGGCUACCCCCCCAGGUGUGUCCGGCUUCUCGGACAGGGGGUUACUACACUUAGGCAGAUUCUGCAUGUAUAGGGGGGAACUCCCUCGAAGUUGAACCGGAGAGAAACUUGAGAUCAUAUGUGAUGAUCCUUGUUUCCACAUGUACCUAUGACCUAACCAAGCUCAAAUGGAGGCAUAUGCCCACCGGGGGACCCCCGAUGGGAUGCAGUCAAAGGGGUAGACCGCGCGGUCAACAGAACUAGGGUUUCGUCGGAAAUCGAGCAUCGGAUCUAGGGAAUGGUCCCAAAACUUGUGUGUGUCCACAUGGAAUGCACAAAAGUGAUUUGAGAUGGUUCUAUAUCCAAGGCUACCCCCCCAGGUGUGUCCGGCUUCUCGGACAGGGGGUUCCUACACUUAGGCAGAUUCUGCAUGUAUAGGGGGGAACUCCCUCGGAGUUGAACCGGAGAGAAACUUGAGAUCAUAUGGGAUGAUCCUUGUUUCCACAUGUACCUAUGACCUAACCAAGCUCAAAUGGAGGCAUAUGCCCACCGGGGGAGCCCCGAUGGGAUGCAGUCAAAGGGGUAGACCGCGCGGUCAACAGAACUAGGGUUUCAUCGGAAAUCGAGCAUCCGAUCAAGGGAAUGGCCCCAAAACUUGUGUGUGUCCACAUGGAAUGCACAAAAGUGAUUUGAGAUGGUUUUAUAUCCAAGGCUACCCCCCCAGGUGUGUCCGGCUUCUCGGACAGGGGGUUACUACACUUAGGCAGAUUCUGCAUGUAUAGGGGGGAACUCCCUCGGAGUUGAACCGGAGAGAAACUUGAGAUCAUAUGUGAUGAUCCUUGUUUCCACAUGUACCUAUGACCUAACCAAGCUCAAAUGGAGGCAUAUGCCCACCGGGGGACCCCGAUGGGAUGCAGUCAAAGGGGUAGACCGCGCGGUCAACAGAACUAGGGUUUCGUCGGAAAUCGAGCAUCGGAUCUAGGGAAUGGUCCCAAAACUUGUGUGUGUCCACAUGGAAUGCACAAAAGUGAUUUGAGAUGGUUCUAUAUCCAAGGCUACCCCCCCAGGUGUGUCCGGCUUCUCGGACAGGGGGUUCCUACACUUAGGCAGAUUCUGCAUGUAUAGGGGGAACUCCCUCGGAGUUGAACCGGAGAGAAACUUGAGAUCAUAUGGGAUGAUCCUUGUUUCCACAUGUACCUAUGACCUAACCAAGCUCAAAUGGAUGCAUAUGCCCACCGGGGGACCCCCGAUGGGAUGCAGUCAAAGGGGUAGACCGCGCGGUCAACAGAACUAGGGUUUCAUCGGAAAUCGAGCAUUCGAUCAAGGGAAUGGCCCCAAAACUUGUGUGUGUCCACAUGGAAUGCACAAAAGUGAUUUGAGAUGGUUUUAUAUCCAAGGCUACCCCCCCAGGUGUGUCCGGCUUCUCGGACAGGGGGUUACUACACUUAGGCAGAUUCUGCAUGUAUAGGGGGGAACUCCCUCGGAGUUGAACCGGAGAGAAACUUGGGAUCAUAUGUGAUGAUCCUUGUUUCCAAAUGUACCUAUGACCUAACCAAGCUCAAAUGGAGGCAUAUGCCCA